rnacentral:rRNA from 1 species
GACGAACGCUGGCGGCGUGCCUAACACAUGCAAGUCGAACGGAAGUAAGAGCUUCGGUUUUUACUUUAGUGGCGAACGGGUGAGUAACGCGUGAGGAACCUGCCUUUCAGUGGGGGACAACAGUUGGAAACGACUGCUAAUACCGCAUAAUGCUUCCGAUCCGCAUGGAUUGGAAACCAAAGCUUUAUGUGCUGAAAGAUGGCCUCGCGUCUGAUUAGCUAGUUGGUGAGGUAAUGGCUCACCAAGGCGACGAUCAGUAGCCGGCCUGAGAGGGUGAACGGCCACAUUGGGACUGAGACACGGCCCAA